rnacentral:rRNA from 1 species
GACGAACGCUGGCGGCGUGCUUAACACAUGCAAGUCGAACGGAAAGGCCCUGCUUUUGUGGGGUGCUCGAGUGGCGAACGGGUGAGUAACACGUGAGUAACCUGCCCUUGACUUUGGGAUAACUUCAGGAAACUGGGGCUAAUACCGGAUAGGAGCUCCUGCUGCAUGGUGGGGGUUGGAAAGUUUCGGCGGUUGGGGAUGGACUAGCGGCUUAUCAGCUUGUUGGGGGGGUAGUUGCUUACCAAGGCUUUGACGGGUAGCCGGCCUGAGAGGGUGACCGGGCACAUUGGGACUGCGAUACGGCCCAGACGCCUACGGGAGGCAGCAGUGGGGAAUAUUGCACAAUGGGCGGAAGCCUGAUGCAGCAACGCCGCGUGCGGGAUGACGGCCUUCGGGUUGUAAACCGAUUUCGCCUGUGACGAGGCGUGAGUGACGGUAAUGGGUAAAGAAGCACCGGCUAACUACGUG